GACGAACGCUGGCGGCAGGCCUAACACAUGCAAGUCGAACGAGUGGCGGACGGGUGAGUAAUGUCUGGGAAACUGCCUGAUGGAGGGGGAUAACUAAUGGAAACGGUAGAUAAUACCGCAUACCAUCAGAUGUGCCCAGAUGGGAUUUGCUAGGUGGUGGGGUAACGGCUCACCAAGGCGUCGAUCCCUAGCUGGUCUGAGAGGAUGACCAGCCACACUGGAACUGAGACACGGUCCAGACGCCUACGGUAGUCAGCAUUGGGGAAUAUUGCACAAUGGGCGCAAGCCUGAUGCAGCCAUGCCGCGUGUAUGAAGAAGGCCUUCGGGUUGUAAAGUACUUUCAGCGGGGAGGCGUUACCCGCAGAAGAAGCACCGGCUAACUCCGUGCCAGCAGCCGCGGUAAUUC
rnacentral:rRNA from 1 species